UUCAAGGAUCUUGAAUUGCGUGUGUUUGCUGCAGUUGCACUUGAAACUUCAUUUACAUUCUUCAGCGUGUAGGAGAUGCCGACCUGCUGCGUGCAACGCUGCAGAUCGCGCUCUCUUCGCAAAGAGCCUGGAGUUUCAUUCCAUUCGUUUCCAAAAAACCCACAGCUAAGAGCAAAAUGGACCGAGGCCUUGGGGAAAGACGUGAACUGGGUGCCGCCAGAGUGGAGCCGAGUUUGCUCGAAGCCCUUUCACCCAGACGACUUCGUCCAAACGCAGUCUCUCGUCCGACUUCGUCCAUGUGCAGUUCCCAAAUUUUUCCCACAACAUGAGCAUGCUGGAACCACAAGUGUGGCUGAAGCUACAGUGGAAGGCACAAUGG